rnacentral:rRNA from 1 species
UACGUAGGCAGCGAGCGUUGUUCGGAAUUACUGGGCGUAAAGAGUGUGUAGGCGGUGCUCUAAGUUCGGUGUGAAAUCUCCUGGCUCAACUGGGAGGGUGCGCCGGAAACUGGAGUGCUUGAGCGUGGGAGAGGAAAGCGGAAUUCUUGGUGUAGCGGUGAAAUGCGUAGAUAUCAGGAGGAACACCUGUGGUGUAGACGGCUUUCUGGACCAUAGCUGACGCUGAGACACGAAAGCGUGGGUAGCAAACAGG